rnacentral:rRNA from 1 species
UAUACAUGCAGUCGAACGAACGGAGGAAGAGCUUGCUCUUCCAAAGUUAGUGGCGGACGGGUGAGUAACACGUGGGCAACCUGCCUGUAAGUUGGGGAUAACUCCGGGAAACCGGGGCUAAUACCGAAUGAUARARUGUGGCGCAUGCCACGCUUUUGAAAGAUGGUUUCGGCUAUCGCUUACAGAUGGGCCCGCGGUGCAUUAGCUAGUUGGUAGGGUAAUGGCCUACCAAGGCAACGAUGCAUAGCCGACCUGAGAGGGUGAUCGGCCACACUGGGACUGAGACACGGCCCAGACUCCUACGGGAGGCAGCAGUAGGGAAUCUUCCGCAAUGGACGAAAGUCUGACGGAGCAACGCCGCGUGUAUGAAGAAGGUUUUCGGAUCGUAAAGUACUGUUGUUAGAGAAGAACAAGGAUAAGAGUAACUGCUUGUCCCUUGACGGUAUCUAACCAGAAAGCCACGGCUAACUACGUGCCAGCAGCCGCGGUAAUACGUAGGUGGCAAGCGUUGUCCGGAUUUAUUGGGCGUAAAGCGCGCGCAGGCGGUCUUUUAAGUCUGAUGUGAAAGCCCCCGGCUUAACCGGGGAGGGUCAUUGGAAACUGGAAGACUGGAGUGCAGAAGAGGAGAGUGGAAUUCCACGUGUAGCGGUGAAAUGCGUAGAUAUGUGGAGGAACACCAGUGGCGAAGGCGACUCUCUGGUCUGUAACUGACGCUGAGGCGCGAAAGCGUGGGGAGCAAACAGGAUUAG